UACGACUACAUAUCAGGCAUAUCAAUAAGCGGAGGAAAAGAAAACUAACUAAGGAUUCCCUCAGUAACGGCGAGUGAAGCGGGAAGAGCUCAAAUUUGAAAUCUUCAAGGUUUCUACCUUGACGAAUUGUAGUUUAAAGAAGUGUUUUUCUGUUGGAAGUUUUUGGUAAAAGUUCUUUGGAAUAGGACAUCAUAGAGGGUGAGAAUCCCGUAUUUGACCAUUAUUUUUCAGCUGUGUGAUACACUUUCAAAGAGUCGGAUUGUUUGGGAAUGCAGUCCAAAAUGGGUGGUAAAUUUCAUCUAAAGCUAAAUAUUGGCGAGAGGACCGAUAGCGAACAAGUACCGUGAGGGAAAGAUGAAAAGAACUUUGAAAAGAGAGUUAAACAGUACGUGAAAUUGUCAAAAGGGAAGCGUUUUGACACCAGUGUUGUUUUUCUCGAAAAUCAAUUAAAAAAGAGCUGGAUUUUUGUGUUGUAUUGACCUUUAAUCAGCUUGCUUCACUCUUUUCCUUGUCUUUUUUUAAUGCACUUUUUCGUUUAACAAGUCAACAUCAGUUUUCUUUUGUUGUAAAAGGGUCAUUGGAAGGUGGCUUUCUCCUCGGAGAAAGUGUUUUAUAGCCUUUGAUCUCUGCAAUCGGAGAGACUGAGGUCUGCAGCGUAGAUCCUUCGGGGUUAGAUACAUUUGUGCUAAGUUAUAGCCUUUUCAUAGACAACUUGUUGACUAUGAUUCAGUCAUGUGACUUACCCGCUUAUGCUAUUUUUACCUACGCUUAGGAUGUUGAGCGCAUGUCUCUCUCU
rnacentral:rRNA from 1 species